ACGGCCAUACCAUAUUGAAAACACGGGUUCUCGUCCGAUCGCCAAAGUUAAGCAAACUCGGGCCAGAUCAGUACUUGGGAGGGUGAUCAUUUGGGGACACUGGGUUCUGUAGGCU